CGUAUCACCCAAGACAACUUUACGGAGUUGACGAUUGACGGAGCGAAGCGACGUCAAAGCGUUCAUUAAAGUCGAGUUGGCUUAGGGAUACGUUCGUUGGGUAGGGGAGCGUUCUGUAAGCCUGUGAAGGUGUGUCGUGAGGCAUGCUGGAGGUAUCAGAAGUGCGAAUGCUGACAUAAGUAACGAUAAAGCGGGUGAAAAGCCCGCUCGCCGGAAGACCAAGGGUUCCUGUCCAACGUUAAUCGGGGCAGGGUGAGUCGACCCCUAAGGCGAGGCCGAAAGGCGUAGUCGAUGGGAAACGGGUUAAUAUUCCCGUACUUGGUGUUACUGCGAAGGGGGGACGGAGAAGGCUAUGUUGGCCGGGCGACGGUUGUCCCGGUUUAAGCGUGUAGGUGUGUGUUCCAGGUAAAUCCGGUUCACUUUAACACUGAGGCGUGACGACGAGGCACUACGGUGCUGAAGCAACAAAUGCCCUGCUUCCAGGAAAAGCCUCUAAGCAUCAGGUAACACGAAAUCGUACCCCAAACCGACACAGGUGGUCAGGUAGAGAAUACCAAGGCGCUUGAGAGAACUCGGGUGAAGGAACUAGGCAAAAUGGUGCCGUAACUUCGGGAGAAGGCACGCUGACACGUAGGUGAAGUGAUUUACUCAUGGAGCUGAAGUCAGUCGAAGAUACCAGCUGGCUGCAACUGUUUAUUAAAAACACAGCACUGUGCAAACACGAAAGUGGACGUAUACGGUGUGACGCCUGCCCGGUGCCGGAAGGUUAAUUGAUGGGGUCAGCGCAAGCGAAGCUCCUGAUCGAAGCCCCGGUAAACGGCGGCCGUAACUAUAACGGUCCUAAGGUAGCGAAAUUCCUUGUCGGGUAAGUUCCGACCUGCACGAAUGGCGUAAUGAUGGCCAGGCUGUCUCCACCCGAGACUCAGUGAAAUUGAACUCGCUGUGAAGAUGCAGUGUACCCGCGGCAAGACGGAAAGACCCCGUGAACCUUUACUAUAGCUUGACACUGAACAUUGAGCCUUGAUGUGUAGGAUAGGUGGGAGGCUUUGAAGUGUGGACGCCAGUCUGCAUGGAGCCGACCUUGAAAUACCACCCUUUAAUGUUUGAUGUUCUAACGUGGACCCGUAAUCCGGGUUGCGGACAGUGUCUGGUGGGUAGUUUGACUGGGGCGGUCUCCUCCUAAAGAGUAACGGAGGAGCACGAAGGUUGGCUAAUCCUGGUCGGACAUCAGGAGGUUAGUGCAAUGGCAUAAGCCAGCUUGACUGCGAGCGUGACGGCGCGAGCAGGUGCGAAAGCAGGUCAUAGUGAUCCGGUGGUUCUGAAUGGAAGGGCCAUCGCUCAACGGAUAAAAGGUACUCCGGGGAUAACAGGCUGAUACCGCCCAAGAGUUCAUAUCGACGGCGGUGUUUGGCACCUCGAUGUCGGCUCAUCACAUCCUGGGGCUGAAGUAGGUCCCAAGGGUAUGGCUGUUCGCCAUUUAAAGUGGUACGCGAGCUGGGUUUAGAACGUCGUGAGACAGUUCGGUCCCUAUCUGCCGUGGGCGCUGGAGAACUGAGGGGGGCUGCUCCUAGUACGAGAGGACCGGAGUGGACGCAUCACUGGUGUUCGGGUUGUCAUGCCAAUGGCACUGCCCGGUAGCUAAAUGCGGAAGAGAUAAGUGCUGAAAGCAUCUAAGCACGAAACUUGCCCCGA
rnacentral:rRNA from 5 species